rnacentral:lncRNA from 1 species
GGGACCUCUGGAGAUCAUCUGGUCCAACCCCCCCGCUGAGCAGGGUCACCUAACACACAUUUUUCAGGAUGGCAUCCAGGUGGGGUUUGGAUAUCUCCAGAGGAGACCCCACAACCUCUCUGAGCAAAUGGUGUGACGUCGGCAGUUACCUGCAUUGGAGGUUUCCCUGGUACCUUGGUCAGAUUUUGGGGUGUGCUCAGUUGUUGCUGAGUUGUUGCUGAGAGAUUUUAGGAUGAGCCUGGAAGCCAUGCUCUUGGAGAAACUGGUCUGCCUCAAAUAACAAGGUUGCCUCUGGUUUAGGCCAGCGUUUUGUGGCUGUUUUAGCUUGGUAGAGCCAGGGAAGGCAGCUGUCUCACCGUCCUGCUUUGGGCUCCUCAUUCCUGCCCCUGCACUGCCCAUUUCCCUGUUCUACCUGUCAGGAGAGAUGACUUAGGUUAAAAAAUAGCCAUUUGAGCAAAGGAAGCAGCAAAAAAGUAUGAACAAGUAACUUGGGCAGGGACGAGGCAGGACAACUGCUUUAGGAAUAAACCUGGUUUGUGAUGGCUUGGAGUGUCCUUGAAAGGCUUAGCAAGCAUGAAGUCUAGCAGGGUUUUGAGGCAUAUCCCUGUUUCAGGCUUUCCUCCCUACACAGCACCACUCCCAUGGUCCAACCACCUUCAAAUGGCCAGAGUUGCAGCACCUCCUGGUACAGGGCCCAGCACGGCUCUCCUCAGUUGCCUGAGCGAUGAAGGAGAGGGGUGGAUUCCUAUGUUUUGAAAUCCUCUGGAUGCCGUUUUGGAGCUAGACUUUAAUUCAGCGCAAUUUAUUUGACCCAGUACAAGAAUAACUGAAUGAAUUUCCGUAACGGGGUUGUCAGGCUAAGUGAUCUAGCAGUUCAUUCUGUCCCUAACCUCCACAAAACUAUGAACAACUGGACUGACAUCUCAGGUAUGUUCCACAUCUAUUUCCCUGUGUAGGAGAUUCUGCUGGAAGUGGGAAAGUUACAAAGACUGAUAUAGGUGUAAAAGAAAGCAAAAUCAUGCUCUGUUAUGAUUUUAUGGCAGUUGAAAAUCCACAAGCAGAUUUUAAUAUAAAUGUCAUGGGCAGUUGUUGAGGCUCAUGAAGACUGGGUGCAGAAAGACCUAGAACGCUGUGGUUGCUGUCACUAUACACAGAACUAUUUUAGAGGUUGCCAGUGUUCUGGGCAUUUAAAUCCAAGAUUAUUUAUAAGUGAGACUUGACAGGAUCUGGAGAAAACCACUAGUCUUUAAAAUGAAAUCACUCAUGCAAAAUUGAAACUUUCCAACAGUUUCUCUUUCAUAUAGCAGAGGAAUCCAUAACUCAAACCAACAGUUGGAAGUUAAUAGCAGACAGGUUCAGAUUAGGAAUAAGUCAUGCACUUUUGGAUGUGUUCUGAACUCUUGGCCAGAAUGGGUUGUGACUGUCAGCAAAAAUGCUGUUCGGGAUGGUUUGAAGUAAGGAGUUUUAGUGUGUAGCCAGCAUGGAGCAAAAGUAAAAGUGGGUCAGCUAGAGGUUUCUUUUGUGAUGUCUAAUUUAAGAGAAAUGACUUAAUCACAUGCGUAUAGUCUGCUGUGACAGUAGGAUAGCCCAAUUUAGAAUGACUUGAAGUUUAAGGAGGAUUUUUAAAUAGCAGCAUUAUAUUCCAUGUAGGAUCCAAAGAUAAAAGAUAUCUAUCGCAUAAAACAAAGAGCACAUGUAAUUGAAAUACAGACCUACAAACAAUGACUGUACUAGUAAACGAAACUGACCAGAACCGGUCAGCUCAAGGUUGCCACAUGCUCUUCUGUGCUAUUUCACCACUACCAAGCUCAUGGCUGCACUUGUCCUGACGAGUAUAAGAGCCUGACCUUAUAGGUGAAGAGGACCAGCUCUUCACCUGGGAGGAAGCUGGGACUCUCACCCCCACCAGGCUGCUCACAGAAUGGAGGAAUACUCCUGCACAUUCUCAGAUGCCUUCAGAUGGAGAAUCUGGACUGAAUAGUCCACCCUUAAAGUGUUUUUUAAAGCCCCCAUGGCUGCUUGGAGGUAGUGUCCUUUAUUUAUUGUUUUGCCUUAAUUAAUUGCCCUGCUGCCUUUCAGGGCAUUGAAACCAUGCCUCUGGGGUGAGCCAGCCUGGAAUACCAUCCUGACCUCCAUCAACUCGGUGUUUGGGAUUGUCCUCCCAACAGUGCUGCCAACUGGGGCACUGCAGUCCUCCUCAGCUGCUAAAUGGGAACCAAGGCACAGGGAUCUGGACCCUCAAAGGUGCUUAACUGGAUGAAAUAAAGUUUUCAUUGAAAUGAAGCUUCA